AAGGCUAUCAAGAUUCUUAUACCAGGAUUUGUUAUGGGCAAUUUGGUUGAUCAAGGAAACUAGUAUCGGCUGCGGUUGGCUUUGGGCAGUUAAGGCUAUUGAUAUAACCCUGUUUUUACUGAUUUUAUCUAUGUUUUAGAUUUAGGAUUUUGAGUCUUUUUGUUAGUUUUCGAGUCUUUUUAGAGUCUUUUCAGUUAUUCCAUGCAGUGGGACAACAAUGGAGAUGAGGAGACAUUUUGGAGCAAAAGCUAAGGAAAAGGAAGCUAAGGACGAUUUCAGUUCAAGAUUCAGCGAGAGUGUCGAUCGACACACUCCUGGUGUCGAUCGACACCUGUUUCGGCCCAGAGAAGUCCAUUACGCUUUCAAGUUUACAGAAGUGGAAAUUUGCCCCAGGAGACUUUCCUAUUUGCAUUAUUAGUCCUUGGGUGAUUA
rnacentral:sRNA from 1 species